AUUGAACGCUGGCGGCAUGCUUUACACAUGCAAGUCGAACGGCAGCACAGGGAGCUUGCUCCUGGGUGGCGAGUGGCGAACGGGUGAGUAAUGUAUCGGAACGUGCCUGGUAGUGGGGGAUAACUACUCGAAAGAGUGGCUAAUACCGCAUGAGAUCUUUGGAUGACAGCGGGGGACCUUCGGGCCUCGUGCUACUGGAGCGGCCGAUAUCAGAUUAGGUUGUUGGUGGGGUAAAGGCCUACCAAGCCUGCGAUCUGUAGCUGGUCUGAGAGGACGACCAGCCACACUGGGACUGAGACACGGCCCAGACUCCUACGGGAGGCAGCAGUGGGGAAUUUUGGACAAUGGGCGCAAGCCUGAUCCAGCAAUGCCGCGUGCAGGACGAAGGCCUUCGGGUUGUAAACUGCUUUUGUACAGAACGAAAAGUCUCUGGCUAAUAUCUAGAGAUCAUGACGGUACUGUAAGAAUAAGCACCGGCUAACUACGUG
rnacentral:rRNA from 1 species